AACGAACGCUGGCGGCAGGCCUAACACAUGCAAGUCGAACGAACCCUUCGGGGUGAGUGGCGCACGGGUGCGUAACACGUGGGAAUAUGCCCUUAGGUAAGGAACAACGGCUGGAAACGGCCGCUAAUACCUUAUAAUAUCUUCGGAUCAAAGAUUUAUCGCCUAAGGAUUAGCCCGCGUCAGAUUAGAUAGUUGGUGAGGUAAUGGCUCACCAAGUCGACGAUCUGUAGGGGGUCUGAGAGGAUGAUCCCCCACACUGGAACUGAGACACGGUCCAG
rnacentral:rRNA from 1 species